rnacentral:rRNA from 1 species
GACGAACGCUGGCGGCGUGCCUAAUACAUGCAAGUUGAGCGCUGAAGGUUGGUACUUGUACCAACUGGAUGAGCAGCGAACGGGUGAGUAACGCGUGGGGAAUCUGCCUUUGAGCGGGGGACAACAUUUGGAAACGAAUGCUAAUACCGCAUAAAAACUUUAAACACAAGUUUUAAGUUUGAAAGAUGCAAUUGCAUCACUCAAAGAUGAUCCCGCGUUGUAUUAGCUAGUUGGUGAGGUAAAGGCUCACCAAGGCGAUGAUACAUAGCCGACCUGAGAGGGUGAUCGGCCACAUUGGGACUGAGACACGGCCCAAACUCCUACGGGAGGCAGCAGUAGGGAAUCUUCGGCAAUGGACGAAAGUCUGACCGAGCAACGCCGCGUGAGCGAAGAAGGUUUUCGGAUCGUAAAACUCUGUUGGUAGAGAAGAACGUUGGUGAGAGUGGAAAGCUCAUCAAGUGACGGUAACUACCCAGAAAGGGACGGCUAACUACGUGCCAGCAGCCGCGGUAAUACGUAGGUCCCGAGCGUUGUCCGGAUUUAUUGGGCGUAAAGCGAGCGCAGGUGGUUUAUUAAGUCUGGUGUAAAAGGCAGUGGCUCAACCAUUGUAUGCAUUGGAAACUGGUAGACUUGAGUGCAGGAGAGGAGAGUGGAAUUCCAUGUGUAGCGGUGAAAUGCGUAGAUAUAUGGAGGAACACCGGUGGCGAAAGCGGCUCUCUGGCCUGUAACUGACACUGAGGCUCGAAAGCGUGGGGAGCAAACAGGAUUAGAUACCCUGGUAGUCCACGCCGUAAACGAUGAGUGCUAGAUGUAGGGAGCUAUAAGUUCUCUGUAUCGCAGCUAACGCAAUAAGCACUCCGCCUGGGGAGUACGACCGCAAGGUUGAAACUCAAAGGAAUUGACGGGGGCCCGCACAAGCGGUGGAGCAUGUUGUUUAAUUCGAAGCAACGCGAAGAACCUUACCAGGUCUUGACAUACUCGUGCUAUUCCUAGAGAUAGGAAGUUCCUUCGGGACACGGGAUACAGGUGGUGCAUGGUUGUCGUCAGCUCGUGUCGUGAGAUGUUGGGUUAAGUCCCGCAACGAGCGCAACCCCUAUUGUUAGUUGCCAUCAUUAAGUUGGGCACUCUAACGAGACUGCCGGUGAUAAACCGGAGGAAGGUGGGGAUGACGUCAAAUCAUCAUGCCCCUUAUGACCUGGGCUACACACGUGCUACAAUGGAUGGUACAACGAGUCGCGAGACAGUGAUGUUUAGCUAAUCUCUUAAAACCAUUCUCAGUUCGGAUUGUAGGCUGCAACUCGCCUACAUGAAGUCGGAAUCGCUAGUAAUCGCGGAUCAGCACGCCGCGGUGAAUACGUUCCCGGGCC